AGGGUUUGAUUAUGGCUCAGGACGAACGCUGGCGGCGCGCCUAACACAUGCAAGUCGAACGAGCAAAGAGGAGCUUGCUUCUCUGAGCGAGUGGCGAACGGGUGAGUAACGCGUGAGGAACCUGCCUCAAAGAGGGGGACAACAGUUGGAAACGACUGCUAAUACCGCAUAAGCGCACAGCAUCGCAUGAUGCAGUGUGAAAAACUCCGGUGGUAUAAGAUGGACCCGCGUUGGAUUAGCUAGUUGGUGAGGUAACGGCCCACCAAGGCGACGAUCCAUAGCCGACCUGAGAGGGUGACCGGCCACAUUGGGACUGAGACACGGCCCAA
rnacentral:rRNA from 1 species